GGGGAUGACAUGGUUUCGACGUGUAUGGUGAAGCCAUGGCCGCGUGCCGAGGUUCCAGAUACCUCGUUAAGCCUCUGGAAAACUAGUAACCGCGAACGACAACUUCGCUCUGGCUGCGUAAGUAGAAUCCCUUCGGGGAAUCCUUACCUCCCGUUCGUUGAUCAGCCCUGCCUGAGGCGGGUCAACGGGCGUCGCUAAAUUCGGGCUGGCCUGGAGGUGGCGUCGUGACGCCCCGGGCGAGACUCUCACGACUGGUUCGCGAUGGGCCUUCUGCCGGCCGAUGAGCGGACGAGGAGAAAAGAACGGCGGAAUACGCACGUAGACGCUGUGGGGGAUCUGUAGGCGGACAGGGGUUCGACUCCCCUCAUCUCCACUU
rnacentral:tmRNA from 1 species